rnacentral:rRNA from 1 species
CUACGGGACGCUCCAGUUAAGAAUCUUCCGCAAUGGACGAAAGUCUGACGGAGCGACGCCGCGUGGGUGAAGAAGGCCGAGAGGUUGUAAAGCCCUUUUCUGCUUGAGGAAUAAGACUGGUAGGGAAUGACCGGGUGAUGACGGUAGGGCAGGAAUAAGCCCCGGCUAAUUACGUGCCAGCAGCCGCGGUAACACGUAUGGGGCGAGCGUUGUUCGGAAUCAUUGGGCGUAAAGGGCGUGUAGGCGGAAAUGCAAGUCUGGUGUGAAAGACCGCAGCUCAACUGCGGGGACGCGCUGGAAACUGCAUAUCUUGAGUUCCGGAGGGGGAGUUGGAAUUCCUGGUGUAGGGGUGAAAUCUGUUGAUAUCAGGAAGAACAUCGGUGGCGAAGGCGAACUCCUGGACGAGAACUGACGCUGAGGCGCGAAAGCGUGGGGAGCGAACAGGAUUAGAUACCCCGGUAGUC